rnacentral:miRNA from 1 species
AUUGUGUGUGUGUUUUU